UAAACUAGGAUUAGAUACCCUAUUAUUUUAAUUGUUAAAUUGAAAUUGAAUUAGUAUUAGUUAUGUUCUUGAAAAUUAAAAAAUUUGGCGGUAUCUUAGUCUUUUCAGAGGAACCUGUCCUAUAAUCGAUAGUCCACGAUUUAUUGUUCUUAUUUUAAUUAGUCUGUAUAUCGUCGUAGUUGAAUGUUUCAGGAGAAUUAAUAAUGUUCAUGAUCUAUAAUUAUAGAGUAAAUCAGAUCAAGGUGCAGCUUAUAAAUAAGGUUGAGAUGGGUUACAAUAAGGUUACUUAUUACGGAUUGGUGGUUUGAAAAGCUUCAUGAAGGUGGAUUUGUAAGUAAUAAAGUUAAAUUAAACUUUAUGAUUUUGGCUCUGAGAUAUGCACAUAUUGCCCGUCGCUUUCAUUAAUUUGGAAUAAGUCGUAACAAAGUAGAGGUACUGGAAAGUGUUUCUGGAAACAAAUUAGAGCUUGAUAUAAAGCAUUUUAUUUACAUUAAAAAGUUAGUUGUGAGAUUCAAUUUAAUGAAAAUAUUAAAUUAUUAAUUAUGAUUUUAUUGAAAUAUCAUGUUUUUUAUUAGAUUUAAUUGAAAAAAUAAUGUUUAUAAUAGUUAAUUAGUAUAGUGAUAGAAAUUGUUUAUUUGUUUAAAAGAAUAAUUAAUUUUUUGUACCUUGUGUAUCAGGGUUGAUUAAAUAAUAAUAAUAUAUUUUAUUUUCUCGAAACAAUUAGAGUUAAUAUUACAUAUAUUUUAUUGUAAAAUAAAUAUUUAAAAUGUGAUAUUGGUAAUGAGACGUUAGUCGUUUUUUGUUUUAUCUAGUUUCUUAAGAAAUGUAUUUAAUGCAUUGCUGUUUAUAAUUGGCUGACUGUUAAGUUAGUUUUAUUGAAUAGUAAAAAUAAAUUUAGGGAUGAGCUUAAAUUUAAAUUUUUAUAAAUUAGUUAAUAUUUAAAUUUUAAAUAGAAUUAGAAAUUUUAAUUUUUUAUAGUUUGUUAUAAUUAAUAAUUUGAUUGUUUUUAUUUAUAUUAAUUUUAGGUGUUAUAUUAAGAAGUACUAUUAAAUUUUAAUUUAGUAGAUAUUAUGAUAAAAUUAGUAUUAAUUAAUUUACAUUGUUUGUAAAAUUAGAGGUUAAAUAAAGGAACUCGGCAAUUAUUUUUUCACCUGUUUAUUAAAAACAUGGCCUUUUGAUGAUGAUUUAAGGUCUGACCUGCCCGAUGAAUAUUCAAUGGCUGCGGUAUUUUGACCGUACAAAGGUAGCAUAAUCAUUAGUUUCUUGAUUAGAAGCUUGUAUGAAUGGUUUGAUGAGAAAAAUACUGUCUCUAUUUAAAUUAAAAAGAACUUUAUUUUUAAGUUAAAAAGCUUAGAUUUGGUUGAAAGACGAGAAGACCCUAUAGAGUUUAAUAUUCAUUUUGAGUAAAUAAUUUUAUGUAUUUUUUUAUUUUAAUUUGAAGUGAUUAUUUUGUUGGGGUGACAGAAAAAUUUAAUAAACUUUUUCUUUUUUAUUACAUUUAUUUAUGUUUAUUUGAUCCAGUUGUAUGACUAUAAGAUUAAAUUACCUUAGGGAUAACAGCGUUAUUUUUUGGAGAGUUCUUAUCGAUAAAAAGUUUGCGACCUCGAUGUUGGAUUAAAAUAACUAUUUGGCGUAGCAGUUAUAAGUUGGGUCUGUUCGACCUUUAAAUUUUA
rnacentral:rRNA from 1 species